CGUACACUCCUGCGGGAGGCAGCAGUGGGGAAUAUUAGACAAUGGGCGCAAGCCUGAUCCAGCCAUGCCGCGUGAGUGAUGAAGGCCCUAGGGUUGUAAAGCUCUUUCACCGGUGAAGAUAAUGACGGUAACCGGAGAAGAAGCCCCGGCUAACUUCGUGCCAGCAGCCGCGGUAAUACGAAGGGGGCUAGCGUUGUUCGGAUUUACUGGGCGUAAAGCGCACGUAGGCGGACUAUUAAGUCAGGGGUGAAAUCCCGGGGCUCAACCCCGGAACUGCCUUUGAUACUGGUAGUCUUGAGUUCGAGAGAGGUGAGUGGAAUUCCGAGUGUAGAGGUGAAAUUCGUAGAUAUUCGGAGGAACACCAGUGGCGAAGGCGGCUCACUGGCUCGAUACUGACGCUGAGGUGCGAAAGCGUGGGGAGCAAACAGGAUUAGAAACCUCGGUAGUCCCAUGA
rnacentral:rRNA from 1 species